rnacentral:rRNA from 1 species
CCUACGUGUGGCAGCAGUGAGGAAUAUUUGUCAAUGGCCGGAAGGCUGAACCAGCCAAGCCGCGUGAAGGACGAAGGUGCCAAGCAUUGUAAACUUCUUUUGUCAAGGGACAAAAUCAGGCUCGAGAGCCUGACCGAGGGUCCUUGAAGAACAAUCAUCGGCUAACUCCGGGCAAGGAGCCGCGGUAAUACGGAGGUUGCGAGCGUUACCCGGAUUUGUUUGGUUUAAAGGGGGAGUAGUCGGACUGUUAAGUGAGCGGUAACAGCCCGGGGCUCAACCCCGGCGAGCCGUUGAAACUGGCUGUCUUGAGAUGUCGAGAGGUAUGCGGAAUGCGCAGUGUAGCGGUGAAAUGCUUAGAUAUUGCGCAGAACUCCGAUUGCGAAGGCAGCAUACCGGCGGCGAUCUGACGCUGAGGCACGAAAGCGUGGGUAUCGAACAGGAUUAGAUACCCCGGUAGUC